GACGAACGCUGGCGGCGUGCCUAAUACAUGCAAGUUGAGCGAUGAAGAUUGGUGCUUGCACCAAUUUGAAGAGCAGCGAACGGGUGAGUAACGCGUGGGGAAUCUGCCUUUGAGCGGGGGACAACAUUUGGAAACGAAUGCUAAUACCGCAUAACAACUUUAAACAUAAGUUUUAAGUUUGAAAGAUGCAAUUGCAUCACUCAAAGAUGAUCCCGCGUUGUAUUAGCUAGUUGGUGAGGUAAAGGCUCACCAAGGCGAUGAUACAUAGCCGACCUGAGAGGGUGAUCGGCCACAUUGGGACGGAGACACGGCCCAAACUCCUACGGGAGGCAGCAGUAGGGAAUCUUCGGCAAUGGACGAAAGUCUGACCGAGCAACGCCGCGUGAGUGAAGAAGGUUUUCGGAUCGGAAAACUCGGUUGGUAGAGAAGAACGUUGGUGAGAGUGGAAAGCUCAUCAAGUGACGGUAACUACCCAGAAAGGGACGGCUAACUACGUG
rnacentral:rRNA from 1 species